GACGUAGGGCGCAAGCGUUGUCCGGAUUUAUUGGGCGUAAAGAGCUCGUAGGCGGCUCAUACAGUCAGAUGUGAAAUUCCUGGGCUUAACCUGGGGGCUGCAUUUGAUACGUGUGGGCUUGAGUGGGGAAGAGGGUCGUGGAAUUCCCAGUGUAGAGGUGAAAUUCGUAGAUAUUGGGAAGAACACCGGUGGCGAAGGCGGCAUCCUGGACCGACACUGACGCUGAGGAGCGAAAGCCAGGGGAGCAAACGGG
rnacentral:rRNA from 1 species